GAUGAACGCUGGCGGCGUGCCUAAUACAUGCAAGUCGAGCGAACAGAUGAGGAGCUUGCUCCUCUGACGUUAGCGGCGGACGGGUGAGUAACACGUGGAUAACCUACCUAUAAGACUGGGAUAACUUCGGGAAACCGGAGCUAAUACCGGAUAAUAUAUUGAACCGCAUGGUUCAAUAGUGAAAGACGGUUUUGCUGUCACUUAUAGAUGGAUCCGCGCCGCAUUAGCUAGUUGGUAAGGUAACGGCUUACCAAGGCAACGAUGCGUAGCCGACCUGAGAGGGUGAUCGGCCACACUGGAACUGAGACACGGUCCAGACUCCUACGGGAGGCAGCAGUAGGGAAUCUUCCGCAAUGGGCGAAAGCCUGACGGAGCAACGCCGCGUGAGUGAUGAAGGUCUUCGGAUCGUAAAACUCUUUUAUUAGGGAAGAACAAAUGUGAAAGUAACUAUGCCCGUCUUGACGGUACCUAAUCAGAAAGCCCCGGCUAACUACGUG
rnacentral:rRNA from 1 species